GCUCAGGAUGAACGCUAGCGGCAGGCCUAAUACAUGCAAGUCGGACGGGAUUGAGGAGCUUGCUCUUCAUGAGAGUGGCGCACGGGUGCGUAACACGUAUGUAACCUACCUUGUUCAGGGGGAUAGCCUCUCGAAAGAGAGAUUAAGACCGCAUAACAUUAAGCUGUGGCAUCACAGGUUAAUCAAAUAUUUAUAGGAACAAGAUGGGCAUGCGGAACAUUAGCUAGUUGGUAAGGUAACGGCUUACCAAGGCUACGAUGUUUAGGGGAUCUGAGAGGAUGACCCCCCACACUGGUACUGAGACACGGACCAGACUCCUACGGGAGGCAGCAGUAAGGAAUAUUGGUCAAUGGACGGAAGUCUGAACCAGCCAUGCCGCGUGCAGGAAGACGGCCCUACGGGUUGUAAACUGCUUUUAUACCGGAAUAAACCUUUCUAUGUAUAGGGAGCUGAAUGUACGGUAAG
rnacentral:rRNA from 1 species